GAUUAGCUCAGUGGUAGAGUAGGUGACUGUUAAUCACUUGGUCGCUGGUUCGAAUCCAGCAU
rnacentral:tRNA from 1 species